rnacentral:rRNA from 1 species
AGACCCGAAACCCGGUGAUCUAGCCAUGGGCAGGUUGAAGGUUGGGUAACACUAACUGGAGGACCGAACCGACUAAUGUUGAAAAAUUAGCGGAUGACCUGUGGCUGGGGGUGAAAGGCCAAUCAAACCGGGAGAUAGCUGGUUCUCCCCGAAAGCUAUUUAGGUAGCGCCUCGUGAAUUCAUCUCCGGGGGUAGAGCACUGUUUCGGCUAGGGGGCCAUCCCGGCUUACCAACCCGAUGCAAACUGCGAAUACCGGAGAAUGUUAUCACGGGAGACACACGGCGGGUGCUAACGUCCGUCGUGAAGAGGGAAACAACCCAGACCGCCAGCUAAGGUCCCAAAGUCAUGGUUAAGUGGGAAACGAUGUGGGAAGGCCCAGACAGCCAGGAUGUUGGCUUAGAAGCAGCCAUCAUUUAAAGAAAGCGUAAUAGCUCACUGGUCGAGUCGGCCUGCGCGGAAGAUGUAACGGGGCUAAACCAUGCACCGAAGCUGCGGCAGCGACGCUUAUGCGUUGUUGGGUAGGGGAGCGUUCUGUAAGCCUGUGAAGGUGUGUCGUGAGGCAUGCUGGAGGUAUCAGAAGUGCGAAUGCUGACAUAAGUAACGAUAAAGCGGGUGAAAAGCCCGCUCGCCGGAAGACCAAGGGUUCCUGUCCAACGUUAAUCGGGGCAGGGUGAGUCGACCCCUAAGGCGAGGCCGAAAGGCGUAGUCGAUGGGAAACGGGUUAAUAUUCCCGUACUUGGUGUUACUGCGAAGGGGGGACGGAGAAGGCUAUGUUGGCCGGGCGACGGUUGUCCCGGUUUAAGCGUGUAGGUGUGUGUUCCAGGUAAAUCCGGUUCACUUUA